GAUGAACGCUGGCGGCGUGCUUAACACAUGCAAGUCGAACGGAACUACUCCAAUGAGAGUCUUCGGAAAGGAGCUGGUUUAGUUUAGUGGCGGACGGGUGAGUAACGCGUGGGUAACCUGCCCUAUACAGGGGGAUAACAGUUGUAAACGACUGUUAAUACCGCAUAAGCGCACAGGAGCGCAUGCUCCGGUGUGAAAAACUCCGGUGGUAUAGGAUGGACCCGCGUCUGAUUAGCUGGUUGGCGGGGUAACGGCACACCAAGGCGACGCUCAGUAGCCGGGCUGAGAGGGAGGGCGGCCACACUGGGACGAGGCAGCAGUCGGGACUCCUACGGGAGGGGGCAGAGGGUGAUAUAGCACAAUGGGGGGAACCAUGAUGGAGCGCGGCCGGGUGAGCGAAGAAGUAUGUCGGGAAGUAAAGCUCUAUCAGCAGGGAAGGAAAUGACGGUACCUGACGAAGAAGCCCCGGCUAACUACGUG
rnacentral:rRNA from 1 species